GUGCGUGGCCGAGAUUGGUGAUCUCCUCCGCAAGGCCUGGCGCCUAGUUCUCAGCACAGUACCGGCUUGCAAAGGCUGGAAGUGAAGCUCCGACUCCAGCAUUCACCGCGGCCGGAUCCGGAAAUGACUGUCUCGUCGUCAUGACAACCGCUUGCUACCUCGUGCUCCUCCUCCCUCCACCCCCGGGUUGGGAUUCUAAACCAAGGCACGUCUUACGGACACUGCUAACACAUCUGCGUUUCUAGAAAACUCAGUCCCUUUCCUGGGUUAUAGGCAAGGCUGGAGUUGGGCUUUCAGGAAAACGUGUAAGUUCCUUCUAUGUUGGCCCCUGUGCUAAGCUGGAAAGCCAAAGAAAACCAAAUCCCUGUUCUUCAGGAGCUUAUUGUUUGAAGAGGAAGACAACAUACAAACAACUAUGUCAGGCCUGCACUUUAGGAAAAUCACUUCAACAUCUGAAUGGAACAUAGAUUGGAAUAGAGAAAGAUUUGUGACUUUGAGACAAACCAACAGACUAUUGCAGUUCUCCAAGUAUGGGAAAAUGAGGAAUUGACCAGAGUGGUGACAAUGUCAGAGAAUAUUUUAGAGAUGUUAAGAAGGUAAGAUCAAUAGUCCUUGGCAACAGAUUGGAUAUGGG
rnacentral:lncRNA from 1 species